rnacentral:rRNA from 1 species
UACAGAGGUCUCAAGCGUUGUUCGGAUUCACUGGGCGUAAAGGGUGCGUAGGUGGUGAGGUAAGUCGGAUGUGAAAUCUCCGAGCUCAACUCGGAAACUGCAUUGGAAACUACCUUGCUCGAGGGUUGGAGGGGGGACUGGAAUGCUUGGUGUAGCAGUGAAAUGCGUAGAUAUCAAGCGGAACACCAGUGGCGAAGGCGAGUCCCUGGACAACUCCUGACACUGAUGCACGAAAGCUAGGGGAGCAAACAGG